GAUGAACGCUAGCUACAGGCUUAACACAUGCAAGUCGAGGGGUAACGAGAGGAAAGCUUGCUUUCCUUGUCGACGACCGGCGCACGGGUGAGUAACGCGUAUCCAACCUGCCCCCAACUAAGGAAUAACCUUGCGAAAGUAAGACUAAUACCUUAUAAUUUCCUCAGAUGUCAUCUGACGAGGAAUAAAGAUUUAUCGGUUGUGGAUGGGGAUGCGUCUGAUUAGCUUGUUGGCGGGGUAACAGCCCACCAAGGCAACGAUCAGUAGGGGUUCUGAGAGGAAGGUCCCCCACAUUGGAACUGAGACACGGUCCAAACUCCUACGGGAGGCAGCAGUGAGGAAUAUUGGUCAAUGGGCGGAAGCCUGAACCAGCCAAGUAGCGUGCAGGAUGACGGCCCUAUGGGUUGUAAACUGCUUUUAUACAGGAAUAAAGUUAGCCACGUGUGGUUAUUUGUAGGUACUGUAUGAAUAAGGACCGGCUAAUUCUGUGCCAGCAGCCGCAGUAA
rnacentral:rRNA from 1 species